CUCAGCUGGUAGAGCAGAGGACGAA
rnacentral:tRNA from 1 species